rnacentral:lncRNA from 1 species
CCCAUAAAUAAUGCGGUUUUUGAAGUAAAAGUCGGAGGGGGACGGCAUAAACUACCUGCAUCAAUUUGCUAUAAAAGCAGGCAGUCAUUUUACCUUCUACUUAUUCUUAGUGCAAGAUUUCAAGAGUGCAGUUCGAUUUUAACGGUUAUUUUUUCUUCAAAGGUAUAAUGGAAGUGACAAAGAAGCAUAUUCGUCAUAUUUUGCUUUAUGAGUUCAAUAACGGCCACAACGCGACGGAAACUGCGAGGAAUAUCAAUGCAAUCUAUGGGGAUCGGACAUUGAGCGUGAGCCAGUGCCAACGGUGGUUCCAGAGAUUCCGGACCGGAAACUACAGCCUGGAAGACGAUAUUCGUCCUGGCAGGUCCGUAAAGCUCGACGACGAAGCCCUGCAAGCCCUGGUGGAAGAAAACCCUCACCUAUCUGUUCAGAAACUGGCAGAGAAGCUCGGAUUUGGUCAUUCAACCAUUCAUCGACACCUGCGUGCUAUCGGGAAAGUCAACAAAUUGGGUCAAUGGGUCUAAAAAGAAACCGCAUUAUUUAUGGGAUGACCCAAUACAAUAUAUUAUAUAUGGUUAUAUUUGAUUAUUGAAUACUAUAUUGUGCACACACACACACAUGCAUAUAUAUAUAUAUAUAUAUAUAUAUAUAUAUAUAUAUAUAUGUAUAUAUACACACACACAAUCUAUUGUAUGGCAGUGUUUCGGCAUUAGUUACAUGACGUCAGUGAUGAGUGUGUGUGAGUUUAUUCAGGUGAAAGACUGUCUUGGAAAUAUAAAGAAAAAGAACUUUGUUAUAAAUCAUUUAGACUUCAUAUUUAGUACCAUUUAAUGAGUCUGAAAUAAUAUUUUUACUAAAAAAAAUAUUAAAAAAUCUUGUAUUUACUGAAGCAGCUUUUGUUGCAAUUGAGAAAUAUUGUUUUAUGAAUUUCUCUCUCCAUAACAUUUAACUGAAAUCCGUUUAAAAAUCAUUCAGUUGCUGCCAGGACCUUUCCCAAUGUAAUAUCAUUCCUUUGUGACACUGAUAAUAAAAGACUUGAAAGAGAUUGCUUAUUCCGAUAGUUACUUUAUUACCAUUUACCAAUCCAACAUAUUAAAAAUCCUAACAAUUUCCACAACUGACAACAUUAAACAUGGCUGCCCUCAUGACGAUGAUGAUGAUGAUGAUGAUAUUUACGUUUUGUUUUUAAUUACAACUCACGAUUUUAGUCUUUAAUUAAUGUUGGAUAUCAACUCCCAGAGCCAACAAUUCCAUAACUUGGCCUUUUUUUUAUUUUAAAUUUGUCUCCAUUAAAACGUUUUUACUAGUUUGGUUGGAAAGCAUUUGUAAUUUGUGUGUCUGUGUGUGUGUUACGUUGACCGAAUUAUAUGAAAUGCUCCUGCUCUAAGGUGCUCGCUUUUAUUAUCAUUAAAAUAUUAUUAUUAUUAUUAUUAUUAUUAUUAUUAAAUUAUAAACCCCUCCCCGUGUUCUGCAACGUUUAUUGUAUUCUACAUACUUCUUCCUGCCCCUGUGGCUAAUAAAUAAAAUAUUAAAUUAAA